rnacentral:rRNA from 1 species
UACGUAGGGACCAAGCGUUGUUCGGAUUUACUGGGCGUAAAGGGCGCGGAGGCGGCUUAACAAGUCACUUGUGAAAUCUCCGGGCUUAACUCGGAACGGCCAAGUGAAACUGUCAAGCUAGAGUGCAGAAGGGGCAAUCGGAAUUCUUGGUGUAGCGGUGAAAUGCGUAGAUAUCAAGAGGAACACCUGAGGUGAAGACGGGUUGCUGGGCUGACACUGACGCUGAGGCGCGAAAGCCAGGGGAGCAAACGGG